GUAAAGAGCUCGUAGGUGGUUUGUCGCGUUGUUCGUGAAAUCUCACGGCUUAACUGUGAGCGUGCGGGCGAUACGGGCAGACUAGAGUACUGCAGGGGAGACUGGAAUUCCUGGUGUAGCGGUGGAAUGCGCAGAUAUCAGGAGGAACACCGGUGGCGAAGGCGGGUCUCUGGGCAGUAACUGACGCUGAGGAGCGAAAGCGUGGGGAGCGAACAGGAUUAGAUACCCUGGUAGUCCACGCCGUAAACGGUGGGUACUAGGUGUGGGUUUCCUUCCUUGGGAUCCGUGCCGUAGCUAACGCAUUAAGUACCCCGCCUGGGGAGUACGGCCGCAAGGCUAAAACUCAAGGGAAUUGACGGGGGCCCGCACAAGCGGCGGAGCAUGUGGAUUAAUUCGAUGCAACGCGAAGAACCUUACCUGGGUUUGACAUGCACAGGACGCGUCUAGAGAUAGGCGUUCCCUUGUGGCCUGUGUGCAGGUGGUGCAUGGCUGUCGUCAGCUCGUGUCGUGAGAUGUUGGGUUAAGUCCCGCAACGAGCGCAACCCUUGUCUCAUGUUGCCAGCGGGUAAUGCCGGGGACUCGUGAGAGACUGCCGGGGUCAACUCGGAGGAAGGUGGGGAUGACGUCAAGUCAUCAUGCCCCUUAUGUCCAGGGCUUCACACAUGCUACAAUGGCCGGUACAAAGGGCUGCGAUGCCGUAAGGUUAAGCGAAUCCUUUUAAAGCCGGUCCCAGUUCGGAUUGGGGUCUGCAACUCGACCCCAUGAAGUCGGAGUCGCUAGUAAUCG
rnacentral:rRNA from 1 species